GAAAAAAAAUUGCACCUGAAAGAUGCAGAGCUGGCCGUACAGUGCAAAACGGAUGAUCAAAGGGUGAGAUCCCUCAAAACAGAUCUUCAAGAGAUUCGUCUAAGAACAC